AGUGAGCUGAGCAGCCGCGUGCGCAGCGCCGAAAGGCCGCGCAUGAGGAAAGUCCGGGCUUCGCAGGGCAGGAUAGCGGAUAACGUCCGCCGAAGGCGACUUUAGGACAAGUGCAACAGAGAUAUACCGCCGCGCUUGCGCGGUAAGGGUGGAAAGGCGGGGUAAGAGCCCACCGGUCCCCCAGGUGACUGCGGGACCCUGUAAACUCUAUCCGAAGCAACACCGCAAGGAGAACAGCGCUUUGAUGCGCAGGGCUUGCCCGGCCCGUUUUCGGGAGGUGGCUCGAGGCGUGUGGCAACAUGCGUCCCAGAUAGAUGGCUGCAUAAACAGAACCCGGCUUAUAGGCUGACUCAU
rnacentral:RNase_P_RNA from 1 species